AGUUAACGCAAGGAGGGCCGGUUAUGGGAAUUACACAUUCGUUGAAUGUCCUCAUGAUAAGUGCAGCGUUCGUAUUCGUAGCAACCAUGCUUUUUAUCUGAAGGCAUCGGGCGAACAGUCCAGUCGGUAAAAAGGGACUUUAAUACCGUAAACCCAUUGCAGC
rnacentral:sRNA from 1 species